rnacentral:lncRNA from 1 species
UUAUGUUUGGGUGGAUACUUUGCCGCCGUGUGCUUAGGCGGAUGCUUUGCCGAUAUGGUUGUGCUUCUUGAGUGGAUGCUUUGCCAUAAUUGUUAUGUUCGGGUGGAUGCUUUGCCGCCGUGUGCUUAGGCGGAUGCUUUGCCGCCUUGGUCAUGUUGCUUGGGUGGAUGCUUCGCCACCUUUGGGCACCUUUAGGCAACUUUAUUGAUGAUGUAUCUUUCUUUUGCAGGUUCAGUUGUUUAGGUUAUCUUUAGUUUUUUAGGUUGCAGGGUCCCUUCCCC